GGGUGGUAAUGCCGGAUGCUCCGACUCCUCGCAUGGGGUGUCGGGAAAGAUUUCAUCGGUAUGGGAUGGGGUCGCGUCCUAUCAGGUAGUCGGCGGGGUAACGGCCCACCGAGCCUACGACGGGUAGCCGGCCUGAGAGGGCGACCGGCCACAUUGGGACUGAGAUACGGCCCAGACUCCUACGGGAGGCAGCAGUGGGGAAUAUUGCACAAUGGGCGCAAGCCUGAUGCAGCGACGCCGCGUGCGGGAUGACGGCCUUCGGGUUGUAAACCGCUUUUGAUCGGGAGCAAGCCUUCGGGUGAGUGUACCUUUCGAAUAAGCACCGGCUAACUACGUGCCAGCAGCCGCGGUAAU
rnacentral:rRNA from 1 species